rnacentral:rRNA from 1 species
AUGGGCUCCGCCUCCGCGGCCUCCCUCCCGACCUCCGCCGGCGCCGGCGAGAACCUGGUCCUCAUCCUCGACUUCGGCUCGCAGUACACCCACCUCAUCACCCGCCGCGUCCGCCAGCUGGGGGUCCUAUCCCUCUGCGUCUCCGGCACCGCGCCGCUCUCCUCCCUCGCGGGGCUGCGGCCCCGCGCCGUCGUGCUCUCCGGCGGGCCCCACUCGGUCCACGCCGAGGGGGCGCCCUCCUUCCCCGAGGGCUUCCUCGACUUCGCCGCGGGCGCCGGCGCGCACGUCCUCGGCGUCUGCUACGGGAUGCAGCUCCUCGUCCAGACCCUCGGCGGCGCCGUCGAGCCCGGCGUAAGGCAGGAGUACGGGGACAUGGAGGUGGAGGUCACCGCGCCCUCCUCCGCGCUGUACGGGGAGCAGGGGAAGCGGCAGUCCGUGUGGAUGAGCCAUGGCGACGAGGUCGUCAGGCUGCCCGAGGGGUUCGAGGUUGUGGCCCGCAGCGUGCAGGGCGCAAUCGCCGCCAUCGAGCACCGGGAGAAGCGCUUCUAUGGGCUCCAGUACCACCCGGAGGUGACACAUUCGCCCCAAGGAAUGGAAACACUGCGCCACUUUCUUUUUGAUGUUUGUGGGAUUAAAGCCGACUGGAAGAUGCAAGAUGUACUGGAUGAGGAAAUUAAGACCAUCAAGAGUAUGGUUGGGCCUGAUGAACAUGUGAUUUGUGCGUUAUCAGGAGGAGUUGAUUCAACAGUUGCAGCCACUCUUGUUCAUAACGCAAUAGGGGAUAGGCUUCAUUGUGUUUUUGUGGACAACGGGCUAUUGAGAUACAAGGAGAAGGAACGUGUUAUGUCAACCUUCAACAGUGACUUGCACCUUCCUGUCACAUGUAUUGAUGCCUCGGAGAAAUUUCUUACCGAGUUAAAAGGAGUCAAAGACCCAGAGAUGAAAAGAAAGAUUAUUGGCAGGGAAUUCAUUGUUGUAUUUGAUGAAUUUGCUCACAUGUUAGAACAGAAGAUAGGGAAAAGACCUGAAUAUUUGGUUCAAGGAACAUUAUACCCUGAUGUGAUUGAAUCAUGCCCACCCCCCGGGAGCGGGAGGACACAUUCCCACACCAUCAAAAGCCAUCACAAUGUAGGUGGUCUUCCUAAAGAUAUGAAGUUGAAGCUCAUUGAACCACUGAAGCUCCUUUUUAAGGAUGAGGUUCGGAAGUUGGGAAGUAUCUUAAAUGUCCCAGAGUCAUUCUUAAAGCGACACCCAUUUCCUGGGCCUGGUCUUGCUGUACGUGUCAUAGGUGACGUUACAGCAGGCAAUGCUUUGGAGGUUCUUCGUCAGGUGGAUGAGAUUUUUAUUCAAGCCAUUAAAGAUGCAGGCCUCUAUGAUGAAAUUUGGCAAGCUUUUGCUGUGUUUUUGCCUGUCCAAACAGUUGGGGUCCAGGGUGACCAGAGAACUCACUCCCAUGUGGUUGCUUUAAGGGCAAUUACCAGUGAGGAUGGCAUGACUGCAAAUUGGUGUCCUUUUUCUUUUAAACCUGUCAGGUAUGAUUUUGAACGCCCGUUCCUGGUUGAUGUGGUGAAGAAGAUCUGCAAUAACGUGCGAGGCGUCAACCGUGUUGUCCUGGACGUAACAUCAAAGCCACCGGCGACAGUGGAGUGGGAAUAG